GUUAGUGUUGGUUUUUACAUCUUGCAGGUCCCAUGUUCGAUCCUUUAUAAAUCAACUUUUAUUGUUCAAUUUUUUUAGUUUUACAAUUUUUACCAAAAAUUAGUGGAAUGAGGAAAAGGGGAUUCGAACCUGGAGCUAUUGUUAGAAUUAUUAAAAGAUUGACCAUUAUACCACAUGUUGAAUUGUGACAAUAGAUUUAACUAAUUUAUAUAUAUUAGAUCUUAGCUUGUUUUAAUGCAACAAUAAAGAUUUAAACUUUUGUUCUUCUUAGAAAUUAUAUAAAACUUGGCAAUAAUGUUAUUUGAUGAGUAUGGUUUAUUCUUUUAACAAAAUUAUAUAUGUUCAAUUUCAACAAAAUAAUUGUUAUAUUUAAAUUUUAGAUCUUGUUUGAUUCUCAUUUAUUUCAGAAUAUAUUUUUUUCUUUUAUUUUCAACCAUAUAUUCUUUAAUAAAAUAAUAUUAGACGAAAUUCAAAAAUUUUCCUUAUUUUUAACCACAUAUUUUCCAUCAAAUCACUAUUUCCCAAAAUGCAUUUUUUGUAAAAAUAUAAAAAUAAAAAAAAAUGACAUCAAACGAGCUCGUAAUAUUUGUUGGGCCUACGGUGGCGGUCAAUGGUUGUCCGUGUUGACUCAAAAUCCUGGAUCCGCCACUGAUUGCGCUUAUUU
rnacentral:lncRNA from 1 species